AUUGAACGCUGGCGGAAUGCUUUACACAUGCAAGUCGAACGAUAAAGCCUAGCUUGCUAGGUCGAUUAGUGGCGAACGGGUGAGUAAUAUAUCGGAACGUAUCCAAUAAUGGGGGAUAACUAGUCGAAAGAUUGGCUAAUACCGCAUACGUCCUACGGGAGAAAGCUGGGGAUCGUAAGACCUGGCGUUAAUGGAGCGGCCGAUAUCUGAUUAGCUAGUUGGUGAGGUAAAGGCUCACCAAGGCGACGAUCAGUAGCUGUUCUGAGAGGACGACCAGCCACACUGGAACUGAGACACGGUCCAGACUCCUACGGGAGGCAGCAGUGGGGAAUUUUGGACAAUGGGCGAAAGCCUGAUCCAGCCAUUCCGCGUGAGUGAAGAAGGCCUUCGGGUUGUAAAGCUCUUUCGCAAGGGAAGAACACUUACUUAAUAACACUAAGUGAGGUUGACGGUACCUUGAUAAGAAGCACCGGCUAACUACGUGCCAGCCGCCGCAGUAA
rnacentral:rRNA from 1 species